rnacentral:rRNA from 1 species
GUAGUCCAUGCUGUAAACGGUGGGCGCUAGGUGUGGGCUGUGUGUUUGCAGUCUGUGCCGUAGCUAACGCAUUAAGCGCCCCGCCUGGGGAGUACGGCCGCAAGGCUAAAACUCAAAGGAAUUGACGGGGGCCCGCACAAGCGGCGGAGCAUGUGGAUUAAUUCGAUGCAACGCGAAGAACCUUACCUGGGUUUGACAUGCACCAGAUCGGCGUAGAGAUACGUUUUCCCUUGUGGUUGGUGCACAGGUGGUGCAUGGUUGUCGUCAGCUCGUGUCGUGAGAUGUUGGGUUAAGUCCCGCAACGAGCGCAACCCUUGUCUUAUGUUGCCAGCACAUUUUUGGUGGGGACUCAUGAGAAACUGCCGGGGUCAACUCGGA